UGAUAAAAACGGAAGUAUACAUUAAGCAAUAAUUUAGCUAAAAUUCAUUUGACACUAAUCAAAAAGAAGCAGUGGGGCAUAAAAACAGUCUCUUCAGUGGGUUGUACCUCACUGUCAAUCAUUCAGCUGUCAAAACAGAGAAAAUUUUCCAAAACAUUUCAAGUGGAAAUAAAACGUAUAAAAUUGUAUCACGUAUUGCAUGUCUAUCUUUCACAUCAUUAUUUUAAAAUUUGAAUAUAAAAAGUUUUCAAAUUAUUUUAUAUCACUGGUGAAAGUGAUUUCACCAAGUAGCAAUGUUCCUUGAUCCUGAAAAAACAAAUCAAAACAAACAAACAACAACAAAACGUUCCAAUCAACCAAUCAGAAUUGAGUAAGUUUCAGGAACUGUCAGUUUUAGGCUUACAACCAGGGUUAGGUGCAUCAUUUGCCUCUGAUUUUAGGAAUAAAUUAUGGUUAGGGUUAGGUUUAGAGGAACUAAAGGGAGCAAUAUUGAGCUAUAUUGCAUACUGCAAUCAGAGAAUUACUUUACUGCUUAUUUAUGUUGAAAAUAAUGCUUUCCAUGCAAAAAUGUGUGUUAGUACGAUCAUCACUAAACACAUCAAAUGUUGUCAUCGAGUGUUUUUUGGAAGUGGAGUGAUGUAUAUUGUCAUAUGCCUUGUUUUAUUUUUCAUUUUAUAAACUGAUCUAUGAUGAACUAUGGUGUUUCUCACCUUGCCAUCAGCAUCAGCCUUCCAGUUGCACAAUCAUGAUACGUGCACAUGAAUUUCCAUGCGUGAACUGUUGUUUUCAUUUUUAACAGAAGAUUAUCUCAAGAAUAUGCCCCAUUCUACCUUUGAGUAUUGGAUCUGUAUCUGAACAUGCUGUAUAUAUAUCUCAUGUAGUGUCUUUAUUAUGGAUACGAAAGGCAAAUUAUACAGUACAUAAAUAAUAAGAUAUUAUCAGAUGUGCCGUGUGAAUCAUUCUUGUGAACUCUAACGGAGAAGUUAACAAAAUGUACCAGGCAACCAUAAGACAUUAACAUGUAAUUUAUCACUGAGAUUCAUGAAAGGUUGUUUGGAUGAUAUAAUAAAACAGUUAUAUAUUUAAUCAU